rnacentral:rRNA from 1 species
AGUGAACGCUGGCGGCAGGCCUAAUACAUGCAAGUCGAACGGCAGCACAGCAGAGCUUGCUCUGUGGGUGGCGAGUGGCGGACGGGUGAGGAAUACGUGGGAAUCUGCCCAGUCGUGGGGGAUAACGUAGGGAAACUUACGCUAAUACCGCAUGCGCCCUUCGGGGGAAAGCCGGGGGACCUUCGGGCCUGGCGCGAUUGGAUGAGCCCACGUCGGAUUAGCUAGUUGGCGGGUAAAGGCCCACCAAGGCGACGAUCCGUAGCUGGUCUGAGAGGAUGAUCAGCCACACUGGAACUGAGACACGGUCCAGACUCCUACGGGAGGCAGCAGUAGGGAAUAUUGGACAAUGGGGCGCAAGCCUGAUCCAGCCAUGCCGCGUGAGUGAAGAAGGCCCUCGGGUUGUAAA